rnacentral:rRNA from 1 species
AACGCGAAGAACCUUACCUGGGCUCGAAGCGCAGUGGAUAUGGGUGGAAACAUCCCUUUCUCGCAAGAGACUGCUGCGGAGGUGCUGCAUGGCUGUCGUCAGCUCGUGUCGUGAGAUGUUGGGUUAAGUCCCGCAACGAGCGCAACCCUCAUUUUCAGUUGCCAGCAUUCAGUUGGGCACUCUGAAGAAACUGCCGGUGACAAGCCGGAGGAAGGUGGGGAUGACGUCAAGUCCUCAUGGCCCUUACGGGCUGGGCUACACACGUGCUACAAUGGCGGUGACAAAGAGUCGCGACCUCGCAAGGGGUAGCUAAUCUCAAAAAGCCGCCUCAGUUCAGAUUGCGCUCUGCAACUCGAGCGCAUGAAGUCGGAAUCGCUAGUAAUCGUGGGUCAGCAUACCACGGUGAAUACGUUCCCGGGCCUUGUACACACCGUGUCGA